rnacentral:lncRNA from 1 species
UACAGAAGUGAACUCCAGCCUGGCUCUUCCAGAAUUCUGCCAGAAUCAGAGAACUCUGAAGAGCCAGGAGAAGGAAGGGAAAGUCACUUUGCGCUCCUGGGUCACCGAUUUCCCCCUCGGAGCAGUCAGGGGAAGCUGCGAGCCUCAGCCGGCAGCGAGCUGGAAGCCAGCAGCACCGGGCGGGCGGGUCCUCAGCCGCCCGCACAGCACCGGGGCAGACCCCGCGGGUGGCGGCACGCAGAGCUCCCCGCUGUCCCCGGGGAGCGAGGCCGCCGGGCGCGCCUUCGCAGAGUUUCAGGUCUUAAGAGCCCCCUCCGCGUAAGGGCCCGCUGCUGUGAAAGCUGGGGCCUCGCUGGCCGAGCAAACGGGCGCCCUCGGAUUGCCCGGGGCCGCGCCGGAGUCUCUAGCGAGCGCCUGUGCGAAGGGCCCCGCACCCUGCGAGACUACCAGAGCACCCGUCGGGGCCCAAUCCGCCAAGCAGCGCCCCCCCUUUAUGUCCUACAGCUCCAGUCCGCCAAAGGGCAGGGGCGUCACCGUCCCUGGAAUGAAAGACCCUGCCUGGAACGGGUUCAGGGUCAGUACGGGCUGAACGCGGGGGUGCACACCUGCAAUCCAGGCUACCUCGGGAGGCUGAGGCAGGAGGAUCACCUGUGGGAGCCCAGCCUGGGCGACUCCACGAGACCCUGUCUCAAAACAGAAGAAGCUGGCGAGGGUGUGGCUCAGUGGCAGAGUGUCCCUGGGCUCCGUUCAGAGCACCGGGAAGAUGAAUGGAGGUUGUUGGUACAGAAAAGUAAGCUUUGUCAGGGAUGCGAGCAGUUCGGGCGCAGAGCGUCUGCGAAGUCGGGCGGCUGAGGGGUCCACCUCGUCCGCGGUUUCCCUGGGAACGAACGGGGCCACUCCGUUCCCUGUCCCGGAAGCCGCAUCGCCGGGGCGCAGGAGCCCGCGUCACCCCCAGCUGCUCCGUGCGGACCGGGCCUCGGCGCCCGGCCCGGCCUCGCCCCCG